CAUGUAGGCGGUCUGCCAAGUUCGGAGUGACAGUCACCAGCUUAACUGGUGAAGGACUUCGAAAACUGGCGGACUUGAGAGCGAAAGAGGGACACGGAAUUUCGGGUGGAGCAGUGAAAUGCGUAGAGAUCCGGAGGAACACCAAAGGCGAAGGCAGUGUCCUGGCUCGUUUCUGACGCUGAGGUGCGAAAGCUAGGGGAGCGAACGGGAUUAGAUACCCCGGUAGUCCUAGCCGUAAACGAUGACCACCAGGCGUGGGAGGGAUCGACCCCUUCCGUGCCGGAGUUAACACAUUAAGUGGUCCGCCUGGGGAGUACGGUCGCAAGACUAAA
rnacentral:rRNA from 1 species